rnacentral:misc_RNA from 1 species
CUGAGAUUGGUGGGAGAGUUGGGAUGGGGUUUGCGCAAGCAAAUUCCAGUCUAUCAACAAAUCCAUUUAUUGUUCGAUGCAGCAAUGCGUCGUUACACUUGCUUGUUUUUGUUUGACAGAUUAGUUAUCAUAUAAUAUCA